UACAUGUGGGGCAAGCGUUGUUCGGAAUUACUGGGCAUAAAGGGUGCGUAGGUGGUCCGUUAAGUUCGUUGUGAAAUCCCUGGGCUCAACCCAGGAACUGCUUCGAAUACUGGCGGACUUGAGGCUAGUAGGGGUCACUGGAACUGACGGUGGAGCGGUGAAAUGCGUAGAUAUCGUCAGGAACGCCAAUGGUGAAGACAGGUGACUGGGCUAGAUCUGACACUGAGGCACGAAAGCGUGGGGAGCGAACGGG
rnacentral:rRNA from 1 species